UUCCUUUUUUGACAGUGUCUCAUGCAUCCCUGGUUGGGCUCCAACUAGCGAUCUUCCUGCCUCUGCCACACGACUUCUGGAAUUACAAAUACAAACUCCAGACUCAGCUUGGAAUCUUCCAAGAAGCAGGAGUUCAGACAGGCAGACGUGGGUGAGAGACCAAGAGUCAGCUCAUGGAAAAAAAAACUUCAUCUGGGGAUGAAUGGUUGGCUCAGAACCCAUGUGCUACGGAAACCCCAGGCCUCAGCUCAGAACCAGUGAACUCAGAGGCUUGUGUGACCAGGGAGUACGGUCCGGGGGGACAUCAUGAGGUCAGCACCCACCGCACUGAUUUGUUCUGAAGCAGUGAAAGCAGAUUCCUGGUUCCUCCGUGCUCCCACAUAGGGCUGUGUGCUCCCUUUCAGAGACUUCUGAAUUGAGCUUUGGGACAUUUCUCGCUCUUUAAAAAAAAAGUUUAUUGUGUUUGAGGCUCACAUAGACAGACCUACAGAGGUAGACAGGCUGUUUCCACUUCUCUGCUCAGGGUCAGGAAAGUGAGGACUGUGUGGAAUGAAUCUAGUAAUUAAAGGGCAGAGCUGAGCAUGGACCUCAGCACUUCUGACUUCCAGGCAAGGAUUUUCCUCAGAGAGAAAAGACAACAUGACUGCUGGCUGACUGAGGAGGAAAGACACCAGGAAAGAAGCAGCAGAUCAGAGAACAACUUUCCCAGGAUGGCAGAGUAGAGUAGUUUCAGAAUUUCAGGUGACAGACAGGAUUCUUGAUGCUUGCCUGAUGCUCUGUGCUCUAUCAUGGCCCCCCAGUGUGACCUACUCUCCAGUGUCAGGCGCCCAGAUUCUGAAACAUCAGGUAGGAGCACAGCGGUACUGUCUAAAGGCCACACUUAGCUGUCUUCCAGAGCUGCUAGAUUUAGUUUGUGCACUUCAAAGUCUGUCUUCAAAUCUACUGUUACUCUUCAUGGCUAUGGUCCCUUUUCCUUAGCAUCUGCCCCAGUGGUGAAUUCUACCUGCUUUGUCUCCAAGUCCCUUCAGCACCCCUCAGACAGAUGGCCUGUAUCUCUGGGCAAACUCAUCAUUUGCACGCUGGCUUCCUCUAGCCUUAAGACACGCAUCUCUAACUAGCCUCUAGGUCAAUCAGUUUGCCUUCUUCAACCACAGAUGACUCCCCGGACACUGAAUGGGGUAGAUGGUCAUUAGAGGAGGGAAUGAAGCCAAUAGGGCCCAGGGUUUCUGAACCUGGGCUUUAUCCUAAUUUACGCUGCCUUGCUUAUUUAAAUCAUCCAUUGGCUUAAAAAGAAAUUUAAACUAGAUUGAUUGAUUUGUGUAUGUGUGUGUGCGCGUGCCACACAAAGAAAUUUAAACUAGAUUAAUUUGUGUAUGGCUAUGUGUGUAUGCCACAGAGCACAAGUGUGCAGAUCAGAGGACAACUUACGGAAGUCAGUUCCUCCCACCAUGUGCACUCCAGGGAUAAACUCAGGCUAUUGGGCUUUGCGGCAGGUGCCUUAACAUAUAUGGGCUUGCAUAUCCCAAAGUGUGCAUGUGCUGGUCCAAGGAUGCAUUUGUGGAAACAGUUCUCUCCUUUCACCUUUCUGGGUCCAGGACUCGAACUCAGACCGUCAGGCUUUGGGGCAAGUGCUUUUACCCACUGAGUGAUCGCAUCAGCCUUGUUCACUCUAAAUGGAAUGCUUUUGGUGACCCGUCUCCUCCCUAUGAAUAUUAAGGACCACCAUCCUUGCAGACACAUCACCAUGGAACCUACAGUGUGUCCUGUCACAGGGCUAAUAGGCACAUCUUCAAAGUACCACUUCCCAUACCUGUCACUUGAGCCUCUUGACAUCUCUGACUCUCCAGAUAAUGAAGCGACCCAGUUGACACUGCUUAUUCAGAAGCCACAUUAGGCACUCUGCGCAGCCUAGGUGGUGCCAUGCGAGUGGGUUCUCUAAACAGGUGACUGCAGAGUGUGCAUCUGAGGAUUUAAGUGUCAGCAUUGAUCUAGGGAAGGAUGUGGGGGCCUCCAUAGAUAGAGAUCUACUUCUGGACCUGAGCUGUCAGCUGCUCUGAUUUACCUUCAGGUAGACAGUGGCAAUUUCCAGUUUUCCCACAGCUAAACAACAAAUAGAAAUGCAUCCUUUCUUCUAAUAGAUUCCAGUUGAUGAGCUUCCCUGGUAAGCCAUUCCUUCCUAGGAAGUCUCUAGGUGUGUGUGUGUGUGUGUGUGUGUGUGUGUGUGUGUAGCUUGGGAGACAGUUCCUCUCUCUGUCUUUCUGUCUCACUUGGAGGAAGUUCCAAGCCUCCUAGAUCCAGGAGACUGUCAUCAUUUUUGACAUCUGUAAAGUAAUGAACCUACUGACCAACUCCAACAGGGUAAGGAAAGCUUAGGCACUGCACUAAAAUUUUGGUUGCUCUGUUUUGUUUUGUCUGUAGUACUGGGGAUUGAACCCAGGACCUCAUGCAUGCUAGGGAAGGGCUCUGUCAUUGCACUGUUGCACCCAGCCUAGCACCAAGAUUGGAAACCGGGACUUGGCAACUCAGUCUUUAUUGAUGGACCAGGAGCUUCUACCUGCUUCCCGUGGUGCAGCUGUGAGAGUUAAAUGGUACAAAAAAUACACAGUGACUGCUCUUAGCACAGCUCAUAUGUCUGAAGGUGAGUUGUGGCUCGUUAUAAUGCCAAAAUGCUCACCCUGAGUGGAGAUAAAAAUGCUAAUGAGACACAUGACACAUGAAGAUACAAGCUGGGCUACAUGUAUCACAUCACAGCAUGCAUGGGAAAGCAUAUAUAUAUACAGGCACACAGACACAUGCACAUAUAUAUAUAUAUAUAUAUAUAUAUAUACACACACACAUAUACAUAUACACAUACACAUAUACAUGUAUAUACACACAUAUAUACAUACAUAUACAUAUACACAUAUAUAUGUGCAUAUUUGCAUAUAUGCACUGGGGUCAUCUGAACUACUAAACUCUCAUUGUGCUCCAGCCUGCUUCCUCCCUGGGAAGUGUAGCUUUUCUUAAUAAACUGUCCCUGUUUCUGCUGCAGCUAAGGUUUCUCUGCUCAAUUUCUUGUUCUGGGAAUAAGAACCUAGAAUCCACCAGAGGUGUCCUCUUAACCCCAAAUCAGUGUGAAGCCACUCCAUAUACCUGUUUUUGCUUUGCUUGUUGAUUGCAAAAGGCCACACUCGGUUAUUGGCCCAUGCCACUCAGGGUCAGUGCAGGUAUACUUUCUGCAAUGAUGACAUCACUCAAGGAGGUUCUCAGAAGCCACCUCGUUGUUGAACAGCUUGGUGUACAAACCCACAAGUGUAGUCUCACUAGCUGACUUAGAAAGGAAGGCUUAGCUCUGGUUCCUGCACUCCCGAGACGGAAACCUGGCCUAGAAACCUAGUGCUCCAGGGUACAGGGAUAAAGAGCCUUUGAAUCCACCCGACUCUAUUUUUUUUUUUUUUAACUAUUGCUUAAUCAGCAAUACCUGCUGGGAUGGUGUGUGUUCCAGGCCACGGUUUCUAGCCACUUCAGCGGGCUGCAUGCUGUUAAUUCUGUGGACAGUUUUGAAGGAAGGAACAUCAAUCUUAGUAAGAAUGAAAAUAUGGUUUGUUAACAUAGAGACACACAGGUUCCUUAGUGCAGAGUUAUUGGUACCCAGCCAUCAUUUAUCAAGCCUAACAAUGUGUGCACAUACCUACUUGAGUUUCUAAUGAGACCAGAGCAACAGAACUGCAAACAGCACUGAUGACUAACAACCUUCACUCAUACACAGAGCUGUGGAGGGGGAUGGGAGGGGGCGGUGAAGGGAGAAGGGAGACUAAUACUCUACUCAAAUGAGUAGUGGCCAGGAAUUUGGUGUCUCAAAAAGGGGAGGAGUGUUAAUGAAGUAGUAUACUUACUUUGAAAGUCAGGUAAAAAGUAUUUUACACAUCCUUGAGAAAGUUGAAGGCUCUUUAAUAAGGAACAUGGCACAAAAUCUUUACAAACUAUUAUUAUUUGGGGCUGGAGAGAUGGUUCAUCAGUUAAAAGCAUUGGCUCUUCUUGCAGAGGACCCAGUACCCACAUGAUAGCUCACAAGUGUCACAUAACUCCAUUCCAAGGAACCUGGCUUCAUCUUCUGGCUUUUGUGUACUACAAGCAAGUUGUAUAGACAUACAUUCAGGCAAAACAUCCAUGCACACACGGUUUUUAUUUUUUGUUUUUUGUUUUUAGAAAAAUAAUAUUUUCUUUUAAAGAUUGUGUGUGUGUGUGUGUGUGUGUGUGUGUGUGUGUGUGUGUUGUGUGUGUGUUGUGUGUGUUGUGUGCUCCAGGUACCUGAGGACACCUAGAACCAGAAUUAUAGAUGGUUGUGAACCAACCAGUGUGGGCUCUGGGAACCGAACCCAUGUCAUUUGCAAGAGCACUAAGUAUUCCUAAUUGCUAAGCUACCCCUCAGCCCUUUGUUAUUAUUUUCGAAAGUAAUAAAAUACACAAGCUAACAUUU
rnacentral:lncRNA from 1 species